rnacentral:rRNA from 1 species
GUAGUCAUAUGCUUGUCUCAAAGAUUAAGCCAUGCAUGUCUAAGUAUAAGCAAUUAUACAGCGAAACUGCGAAUGGCUCAUUAAAUCAGUUAUUGUUUAUUUGAUAGUACCUUACUACAUGGAUAACCGUGGUAAUUCUAGAGCUAAUAUAUGCUAAAAAUCCCGACUUCGGAAGGGAUGUAUUUAUUAGAUUAAAAACCAAUGCCCUUCGGGGCUCUCUGGUGAUUCAUAAUAACUUCUCGAAUCGCACGGCCUUGCGCCGGCGAUGGUUCAUUCAAAUUUCUGCCCUAUCAACUUUCGACGGCUGGGUCUUGGCCAGCCGUGGUGACAACGGGUAACGGAGGGUUAGGGCUCGACCCCGGAGAAGGAGCCUGAGAAACGGCUACUACAUCCAAGGAAGGCAGCAGGCGCGCAAAUUACCCAAUCCCGACACGGGGAGGUAGUGACAAUAAAUACUGAUACAGGGCUCUUUCGGGUCUUGUAAUUGGAAUGAGUACAAUUUAAAUCCCUUAACGAGGAACAAUUGGAGGGCAAGUCUGGUGCCAGCAGCCGCGGUAAUUCCAGCUCCAAUAGCGUAUAUUAAAGUUGUUGAGGUUAAAAAGCUCGUAGUUGAACCUUGGGCCUAGCCGGCCGGUCCGCCUCACCGCGUGCACUGGCUCGGCUGGGUCUUUCCUUCUGGAGAACCGCAUGCCCUUCACUGGGCGUGCCGGGGAACCAGGACUUUUACUCUGAACAAAUUAGAUCGCUUAAAGAAGGCCUAUGCUCGAAUACAUUAGCAUGGAAUAAUAGAAUAGGACGUGUGGUUCUAUUUUGUUGGUUUCUAGGACCGCCGUAAUGAUUAAUAGGG